UACGUAGGGUGCAAGCGUUUAAUCGGAAUUACUGGGCGUAAAGCGUGCGCAGGCGGUUAUGUAAGACAGAUGUGAAAUGCCCGGGCUUAACCUGGGAACUGCAUUUGUGACUGCAUGGCUAGAGUUUGGCAGAGGGGGGUAGAAUUCCACGUGUAGCAGUGAAAUGCGUAGAUAUGUGGAGGAACACCGAUGGCGAAGGCAGCCCCCCUGGGCUAACACUGACGCUCAUGCACGAAAGCGUGGGGAGCAAACAGG
rnacentral:rRNA from 1 species